rnacentral:rRNA from 1 species
GACGAACCGCCCGAACGUUGUUCGGAUUCACUGGGCGUAAAGGGCGCGUAGGCGGCAAUUCAAGUCAGUUGUGAAAUCUCCGAGCUUAACUCGGAACGGUCAACUGAUACUGCUUUGCUAGAGUACAGAAGGGGCAAUCGGAAUUCUUGGUGUAGCGGUGAAAUGCGUAGAUAUCAAGAGGAACACCUGAGGUGAAGACGGGUUGCUGGGCUGAUACUGACGCUGAGGCGCGAAAGCCAGGGGAGCGAACGGG